rnacentral:rRNA from 1 species
GAUGAACGCUAGCGGCAGGCUUAACACAUGCAAGUCGAGGGGCAGCACGGGUAGCAAUAUCUGGUGGCGACCGGCGCAAGGGUGCGUAACGCGUGAGCAACAUGCCCGUAUCAGGGGAAUAAUCCAGGGAAACUUGGUCUAAUACCCCAUAGUAAAUAUUAAAGGCAUCUUUAAUAUUUUAAAGCUUUGGUGGAUACGGAUUGGCUCGCGUGACAUUAGCUAGAUGGUAAGGUAACGGCUUACCAUGGCUACGAUGUCUAGGGGUUCUGGGAGGGAGAUCCCCCACACUGGAACUGAGACACGGUCCAGACUCCUACGGGAGGCAGCAGUGAGGAAUAUUGGACAAUGGAUGGAAAUCUGAUCCAGCCAUGCCGCGUGCAGGAAGACGGCCCUAUGGGUUGUAAACUGCUUUUAUAUGGGAGCAAUAAGGCCUACGUGUAGGUUGAUGAGAGUACCAUAUGAAUAAGCACCGGCUAACUCCGUGCCAGCAGCCGCAGUAAAAC